GGAGCGAUGACCGAGUGGCCGAAGGUGCUCCCCUGCUAAGGGAGUAUGUGGGCUAAAAAACCCGCAUCGAGGGUUCGAAUCCCUCUCGCUCCUCCA
rnacentral:tRNA from 1 species